UAAUACAGAGGUCCCAAGCGUUACUGAGAAUCACUGGGUUUAAAGGGUGCGUAGGUGGUCCGUUAAGUCAGUUGUGAAAUCCCCGGGCUCAACCCGGGAACUGCUUCUGAUACUGGCGGACUUGAGGCCAGUAGGGGUCACUAGAACUGACGGUGGAGCGGUGAAAUGCGUAGAUAUCGUCAGGAAUGCCGGUGGUGAAGACGGGUGACUGGGCUGGUUCUGACACUGAGGCACGAAAGCGUGGGGAGCGAACGGGAUUAGAUACCCCGGUAGUCCACGCCCUAAACGAUGCAGACUAGAUUGCAGCGGGUUACACCCCGUUGCGGUCGUAGCGAAAUUGUUAAGUCUGCCACCUGGGAAGUACGGUCGCAAGGCUA
rnacentral:rRNA from 1 species